GCCAGUGUAGUUUAGUUGGCUAUAAUGUGUUCGGCGCAGGAGCAUUGUAUUGCCCGCGCCGUGCAAGACCCGAAUUCGAUCCUCGGCGCUGGCC